rnacentral:tRNA from 1 species
GGGGUUGUGGGGUAACUUGGUCCAUCCUUUCCGCUUUGGGAGCGGACGAUGCCGGUUCAAAUCCGGCCAGCCCCA